AUACGUAGGCUCCAAGCGUUGUUCGGAAUUACUGGGCGUAAAGCGAGUGUAGGCGGUCCGUCAAGUCGGUUGUGAAAUCUCCUGGCUCAACUGGGAGGGUGCAAUCGAAACUGACAGACUAGAGUGCGAGAGGGGAGAGUGGAAUUCCUGGUGUAGCGGUGAAAUGCGUAGAUAUCAGGAGGAACACCGGUGGUGAAGACGGCUCUCUGGAUCGCAACUGACGCUGAGACUCGAAAGCGUGGGGAGCAAACAGGAUUAGAUACCCGGGUAGUCC
rnacentral:rRNA from 1 species